AUUGAACGCUGGCGGCAUGCCUUACACAUGCAAGUCGAACGGUAACAGGUCUUCGGAUGCUGACGAGUGGCGAACGGGUGAGUAAUACAUCGGAACGUGCCCGAUCGUGGGGGAUAACGGAUCGAAAGCUUUGCUAAUACCGCAUAAGAUCUACGGAGGAAAGCAGGGGACCGCAAGGCCUUGCGCGAACGGAGCGGCCGAUGGCAGAUUAGGUAGUUGGUGGGAUAAAAGCUUACCAAGCCGACGAUCUGUAGCUGGUCUGAGAGGACGACCAGCCACACUGGGACUGAGACACGGCCAAGACUCCUACGGGAGGCAGCAGUGGGGAAUUUUGGACAAUGGGCGCAAGCCUGAUCCAGCCAUGCCGCGUGCAGGAUGAAGGCCUUCGGGUUGUAAACUGCCUUUGUACGGAACGAAAAGACUCUGGUUAAUACCUGGGGUCCAUGACGGUACCGUAAGAAUAAGCACCGGCUAACUACGUGCCAGCAGCCGCCGUAA
rnacentral:rRNA from 1 species